rnacentral:rRNA from 1 species
GACGAACGCUGGCGGCGUGCUUAACACAUGCAAGUCGAACGGAAAGGCCUGCAGCUUGCUGCGGGUACUCGAGUGGCGAACGGGUGAGUAACACGUGGGUGAUCUGCCUUGCACUUCGGGAUAAGCUUGGGAAACUGGGUCUAAUACCGGAUAGGACAGCUGUUUAGUGUCAGUUGUGGAAAGUUUUUUCGGUGUAAGAUGAGCUCGCGGCCUAUCAGCUUGUUGGUGGGGUAAUGGCCUACCAAGGCGUCGACGGGUAGCCGGCCUGAGAGGGUGUACGGCCACAUUGGGACUGAGAUACGGCCCAGACUCCUACGGGAGGCAGCAGUGGGGAAUAUUGCACAAUGGGCGGAAGCCUGAUGCAGCGACGCCGCGUGGGGGAUGAAGGCCUUCGGGUUGUAAACUCCUUUCGACAGGGACGAAGCGUAAGUGACGGUACCUGUAUAAGAAGCACCGGCUAACUACGUGCCAGCAGCCGCGGUAAUACGUAGGGUGCGAGCGUUGUCCGGAAUUACUGGGCGUAAAGAGCUCGUAGGUGGUUUGUCGCGUCGUCUGUGAAAUUCCGGGGCUUAACUCCGGGCGUGCAGGCGAUACGGGCUGACUUGAGUGCUGUAGGGGAGACUGGAAUUCCUGGUGUAGCGGUGAAAUGCGCAGAUAUCAGGAGGAACACCGAUGGCGAAGGCAGGUCUCUGGGCAGUAACUGACGCUGAGGAGCGAAAGCAUGGGUAGCGAACAGG